UACGGAGGGUGCAAGCGUUACUCGGAAUUACUGGGCGUAAAGCGUGCGUAGGUGGUUGUUUAAGUCUGUUGUGAAAGCCCUGGGCUCAACUUGGGAACUGCAGUGGAAACUGGACAACUAGAGUGUGGUAGAGGGUAGCGGAAUUCCCGGUGUAGCAGUGAAAUGCGUAGAGAUCGGGAGGAACAUCCAUGGCGAAGGCAGCUACCUGGACCAACACUGACACUGAGGCACGAAAGCGUGGGGAGCAAACAGG
rnacentral:rRNA from 1 species